rnacentral:rRNA from 1 species
AUUGAACGCUGGCGGCAGGCUUAACACAUGCAAGUCGAGCGGGGGAAGGUAGCUUGCUACCGGACCUAGCGGCGGACGGGUGAGUAAUGCUUAGGAAUCUGCCUAUUAGUGGGGGACAACAUCUCGAAAGGGAUGCUAAUACCGCAUACGUCCUACGGGAGAAAGCAGGGGAUCUUCGGACCUUGCGCUAAUAGAUGAGCCUAAGUCGGAUUAGCUAGUUGGUGGGGUAAAGGCCUACCAAGGCGACGAUCUGUAGCGGGUCUGAGAGGAUGAUCCGCCACACUGGGACUGGAACACGGCCCAGACUCCUACGGGAGGUAGCAGUGGGGAAUAUUGGACAAUGGGGGGAACCCUGAUCCAGCCAUGCCGCGUGUGUGAAGAAGGCCUUAUGGUUGUAAAGCACUUUAAGCGAGGAGGAGGCUACUCUAGUUAAUACCUAGGGAUAGUGGACGUUACUCGCAGAAUAAGCACCGGCUAACUCUGUGCCAGCCGCCGCAGUAA